CAACAAUUGGGACCCUCUUUCAAAAACCAACUGGCCCCGGAGGAUUCAUGUGUGGAGUCUCAGCCAUGCAAACACUAUCGUGAAUUAGUUCAAACAGAUGCCUUUCAAUAACACAGCUGCGGUAUCAGAACACGGAAGCAGGGUUUGCGAGCCCCGGCACUGUUGACUUUUGGGCUGGAGAAUUCUUUGAAGUGGGGAGCUGUUCUGGGCACUGUGAGACACUCAGCAGCCGCUCUGGCCUCUCCACCUUUAAUUGCAGUGGCUCAAAGUGUCUCUAGAUAUUGACAGACAUCCCCUCGAGGGCAUCCUCCUCCCCAGGUGUGGUUUGCUGCCCAGUGAUUUGGUCAAUUGUCACCUGUCCAAAAGCAGUACCAGAAAUGGAACUCACGACCUUGUGUUUGCCAGGCAGGUGUCUUCAAGCAGAUAUAUUCUACAUCUUCUCCCAGAUUUUAUGAUUGUGUUGAUCGGAACUGCUCAUCUUUCAUUGCAAGAAGACUAAAGUGGUCAACUUUCAUUUUCCUGGAAUGCAUUUAAAUCGGAGGCAAAGGAGCUGGACUUCCAUUCUCCCAGUUGCUCUUGGGCCCAGGGUAGCCUAGGGAGGAAUAGAAUCCUGGGUACUGCACAUCCAAGAAGUGUUCCAGUAACGCAGGGGCGUAUUCCAAGAAGAACUCUGCAGUUACCAACUAGUAGAGGUCAUGGGCAUCAGGUGUUGUGUCCCAGAGAAGUGGAAAAUGACUAAGUCAUCGUAUAUAUUAAUCCAGGGAAUAUCGGAUAAGCAAACACACUUCCCUGGAACUUGUGGCUUUGCAGUAACUUCAUGUUCCAAGUGUUGGGAAGUCUGUAAAUGUAGACCUGUUUCCUGGAGUCCUAUCAGUAUGAAGAAUCUUGAGCCAUUUCUGAUGCAAUCUACCCGCUACUCAAAUCCCCCUCAUCUCUCCACUGGAAUUGGAUUCCAGAUAAAGAAGAUAUCAGUUCUUCCAUACAAGUGAAUGCAGGUUGCUCUCGGGAUUUCCUGAUAUCUUUUUCCUCAUCUUUUCUGGAACACGUUGACUGACCAUCUUUUGGCAUUUGAGGAAGAGCUAACUGAUGUGUGCAUCCUUAAUCUUUAUUUAUUCUUUUUAUUUUAAAGAGAGUAGUAAAUGAGAAACAAACAAAAUAAUA